GGCCCUAUCGUCUAGUCUGGCUUAGGACGUCAGGUUUUCAUCCUGGUAACACCGGUUCAAAUCCGGUUGGGGCCG
rnacentral:tRNA from 1 species